rnacentral:miRNA from 1 species
UUUCAUCUUAGAGAAUGUUGUU